CGAUGUGAGGGUGAUCUGGCUGCAACAUCUGUCACCCCAUUGAUUGCCAGGAUUGAUUCGGCUGAUCCGGCAGGCUAGGCGGUGUCCCCUUCCUCCCUCACCCUCCAUGUGUGUCCCUCCCGAGGCUGCACGCUAGGUGAAAGAGGACGGCCUUUCCCGAAUAGAGAGGGACCAGUCUUCAGUUGAGGGUAUACGAGUAGCUGCACUCCACUGCUAGAACCUCCAAACAAACUCUCCAGUUCAUCACAUUGUCACAGUUACAUAUUAUGAGCACAGCCACUCCCUCCUAGCCUGAGAACCUUCUGAAAAAGCAGCAUGGCCACAAGGGCAUCAUUGAUGCUUC
ensembl:misc_RNA 7SK 7SK RNA